GAUGAACGCUAGCGGCAGGCUUAACACAUGCAAGUCGAGGGGUAUAGUUCUUCGGAGCUAGAGACCGGCGCACGGGUGCGUAACGCGUAUGCAAUCUACCUUUUGCAGAGGGAUAGCCCAGAGAAAUUUGGAUUAAUACCUCAUAGUAUGUGAGAAUGGCAUCAUUUUCACAUUAAAGUCACAACGGCAAAAGAUGAGCAUGCGUCCCAUUAGCUUGUUGGUAAGGUAACGGCUUACCAAGGCAACGAUGGGUAGGGGUCCUGAGAGGGAGAUCCCCCACACUGGUAAUGAGGCACGGACCAGACUCCUACGGGAGGCAGCAGUGAGGAAUAGUGGACAAUGGGCGCAAGCCUGAUCCAGCCAUGCCGCGUGCAGGAUGACGGUCCUAUGGAUUGUAAACUGCUUUUGUACAGGAAGAAACACUGGUUCGUGAACCAGCUUGACGGUACUGUAAGAAUAAGGAUCGGCUAACUCCGUGCCAGCCGCCGCAGUAACAC
rnacentral:rRNA from 1 species